GAGUUUGAUCGUGGCUCAGAUUGAACGCUGGCGGCAGGCCUAACACAUGCAAGUCGAACGGUAACAGGAAGCAGCUUGCUGCUUCGCUGACGAGUGGCGGACGGGUGAGUAAUGUCUGGAAGCUGCCUGAUGGAGGGGGAUAACUACUGGAAACGGUAGCUAAUACCGCAUAAUGUCGCAAGACCAAAGAGGGGGACCUUCGGGCCUCUUGCCAUCGGAUGUGCCCAGAUGGGAUUAGCUUGUUGGUGGGGUAACGGCUCACCAAGGCGACGAUCCCUAGCUGGUCUGAGAGGAUGACCAGCCACACUGGAACUGAGACACGGUCCAGACUCCUACGGGAGGCAGCAGUGGGGAAUAUUGCACAAUGGGCGCAAGCCUGAUGCAGCCAUGCCGCGUGUAUGAA
rnacentral:rRNA from 1 species